AUGGCGUCCCACGUAGUUGGAUAUCCUCGCUUCGGCCCCAACAGGGAGCUGAAGUUUGCCCUGGAAUCAUUCUGGCAUGGAAAGAGCACCGCCAAAGAUUUGCUGGAAGCCGGGGCUCAUCUCAAGUCAUCCAUCUGGAAGCAGAUGGCCGCUGUCGGCAUCAAAUAUAUUCCCAGCAACACCUUCUCAUACUAUGAUCAGGUGCUUGACACCACUGCGAUGCUCGGUGCUGUUCCUCCCAGAUAUAGUUGGAACGGUGGCAAGAUCGGGUUUGACGUUUACUUCUCGAUGGUCAGAGGAACCGCCUCCGUCUCUGCUAUGGAGAUGACCAAGUGGUUCGACACCAACUACCACUACAUCGUCCCUGAAUUAUGCCCCGAUGUCAACUUCUCUUACGCUUCUCGCAAGGCUGUCGAGGAGUACGAGGAGGCCCAGAAGCUUGGAGUAGACACUGUUCCGGUCCUUCUUGGCCCAGUCUCCUAUCUGCUGCUAUCCAAGCCUGCAAAGGGUGUGGAGAAGACCUUUUCUCCUCUCUCCCUUCUCCGGAAAAUACUUCCUAUCUACGGGGAAGUUGUGUCCGAACUUAAGGCUGCUGGUGCUUCAUGGAUUCAGUUUGAUGAGCCCACCCUCGUGAUGGAUCUUGAUUCUCACAAACUGCAAGCAUUUACUGAAGCAUACUCGGAACUGGAAUCAUGUCUUUCUGGCGUGAAUGUUGUCGUCGAGACAUAUUUUGCUGAUGUUCCUGCUGAGGCAUAUAAUGUUCUUACUUCCUUGAAGGGUGUCGCUGGAUUUGGAUUUGAUUUGGUCCGAGGAACAAAGACCCUUGAUUUAAUCAAGGGUGGCUUCCCCACAGGCAAGUAUCUCUUUGCUGGAGUUGUUGAUGGGAGGAACAUCUGGGCCAAUGAUCUUGCUGGAUCGCUCAGCACGCUCCUUGCCCUCGAGAGCAUCGUGGGAAAAGACAGACUUGUGGUCUCCACCUCCUGCUCUCUUUUGCACGUUCCUGUUGACCUAGUUAAUGAGACCAAGUUGGAUGAGGAAAUCAAGUCAUGGCUUGCAUUUGCUGCUCAGAAGGUCGUUGAAGUCACUGCCUUGGCCAAGGCAUUGGCUGGACAAAAGGAUGAGGCAUUAUUCUCAGCUAAUGCUGCUGCUCAGGCCUUAAGAAACUCCUCUCCAAGAGUCAACAACGAAGCUGUCCAAAAGGCUACUGCUGCUUUGAGGGGCUCUGAUUGUCGCCGUGCCAGACCCAUCAGUGUUAGACUUGAUGCUCAGCAAAAGAAGAUUAAUUUACCAGUCAUCCCAACAACCGUCAUUGGCUCCUUCCCUCAGACCGAGGAACUCAGAAGAGUGCACUGUGAGUACAAGGACAAAAUGAUCUCCGAGGAAGAAUUUGUUAAGGCCAUCAAGGAGGAAAUUAACAAAGUUGUCAAGCUUCAAGAGGAGCUUGACAUAGAUGUCUUGGUUCAUGGGGAGCCUGAGAGGAAUGAUAUGGUUGAAUACUUUGGGGAGCAGUUGUCAGGUUUUGCUUUCACCAUUAACGGGUGGGUGCAAUCUUAUGGAUCUCAUUGUGUAAAACCACCCAUCAUCUAUGGUGAUGUUAGCCGCCCCAAGCCAAUGACUGUCUUGUGGUCCACCAUGGCCCAAAGCAUGACUGCUCGCCCAGUGAAGGGAAUGCUCACAGGCCCUGUCACCAUUCUCAACUGGUCCUUUGUCCGAAAUGACCAACCUAGGCUUGAAACUUGCUAUCAAAUUGCCUUGGCCAUCAAGGACGAAGUUGAGGAUCUUGAGAAGGCGGGGAUUAAUGUUAUUCAAAUUGAUGAGGCAGCUUUGAGAGAGGGUCUGCCACUGAGAAAGUCUGAACAAUCUUUCUAUUUGAAUUGGGCUGUCCACUCUUUUAGGAUCACUAACUGGGUGCCAAGGAUACUACCCAGAUCCACACCCACAUGUACUCCUACUUCAACGACAUCAUCCACUCGAUCAUCGACAUGGAUGCCGAUGUCAUCACAAUCGAGAACUCUCGCUCUGAUGAGAAGCUCAUCUCUGUUAUCCACAAGGGAGUGGAGUUUGGUACUGGGAUUGGCCCCAGUGUCUAUGACAUCCACUCUCUCAUAAUACCAUCGGCUGAAGAGAUUGCCGACAAAACCACCAAGAUGCUCACAACAAACAUACUGUGGUUUAACCCUGAGUUUGUGCUCAAGACUUGUAAACACACUGGGGUCAAGCUUGCGCUCAAGAUCUUCAUUGCUGCUGCUGAGCUUCUCGCACCGAACUUGCCCAUGCUAAAAAAGAGAAGUAUGAGUAACUUUUCUCGUCAAUCGAUUCUUCCUACACACGAGGGAAUGCGCCUGUCUUUUAAUAUUGAUCCAAUAAUUGAGUUUCUCUAUGUAAUGUUACGAGUCAUAUGGAGUAUAUUAGUUUUGUCCUUGUACUCUCUCCUCCAGAACAUGUGCGAAUAUAAUGAUAUAGAUAAUGAAUAA